UACGUAGGGGGCAAGCGUUGUCCGGAUUCAUUGGGCGUAAAGAGCGUGUAGGCGGCCAGGUAGGUCGGUUGUGAAAACUGGAGGCUCAACCUUCAGAGGUCGACCGAAACCAUCUGGCUAGAGUCCGGGAGAGGAGAGUGGAAUUCCUGGUGUAGCGGUGAAAUGCGCAGAGUAUCAGGAAGAACACCCGUGGCGAAGGCGGCUCUCUGGGACGGUACUGACGCUGAGACGACGAAAGCGUGGGGGAGCAAACAGG
rnacentral:rRNA from 1 species